GACUAUAUGGUGUAAUAAACACGGUAAGUUGCAAACUUUCAGAUAAUAUUUAUGGUCA
rnacentral:tRNA from 1 species